UCUCUCAUCCGCCUCCUCGCUACUUCCCGUCUAUCUUGUUUCUCUGAAUCUCUGCCCCUUUCUCUCUCAAGAUUUACCCUCUCUUCUCUGAUCUUUCUGUCUCUCAAAUCUCACUCAUAUGAGUAUCUCAUCCCUCACUCUCUCUAUCUCUCACCUUCUCCGGUCUCCGCUUUCAAAGCCUUAGAGGCUCAGACUCCGCUUCUCACCUUACACACCCUCUCUGCCUCUCCCUUGGACUGCGACUCCUACUCCUACUCCGGACCUCUCGAGUCUAGCAUUCGGGGCUAAGCACAACGUAGAUCUGGGAUUCUGGGGAGAUGGGCUUAGACUCCUCCACUUCUCCGGUGAACGGCGGUCCGCUACGGUCAAAGGCCAAAGCUGUUAACACUCUAAAGCCUAACAGGCUCUCAGUCUCUCACUAUUGAGUCUCGCCAAAUACUCCCAGUAAAUCUGGCUCUCAACAGAUCCGGGAAUAUCUCCAUUGAGGCUUCGAGUUUGUAGGCUUCUCCAGUGACCGUCUCUGUCCAUGAAAAUAUAAUAGGAGAAAAAGGGCAAUAACUGACAUUCAUCCAAUUGGAAAUUCUCCUGUCAUUGUUGAGAAGGGACUUCUGAAAAAGAUAGCUCGUACAUGGACUAAGGAGGGAGGACCCUGGAGCUGAUAAAGCUUUUGGCUGGGUACUUGAGAUGUAAUCUACCUCUGGUCAUCAUACCAAAAUUAUUUCAUUCCCCCUUGUGGAUUGGGAACAAAAACUAACUUUAAACCUCCAUAUAUCUUAUUAUUAUCUUCUUUAUAUGCAGGGGUUCUAAUUAGCAGCCAAAUGAGAAGCAGUUUACUGGCAGACAGAUUAUUGGAUCAACAUUUGCUUAGGGGAGCAAAACUAAAUCCAAUACAGAAUACUUAGCUGUUUUCUCAAUCUUUUUUCACUAUUCUUUGUUUAGUUUGUAUUUUUUUAUGAUUGUAAAUUUGUAAUUAACUAGGUAAGGUUUUUUGCCCAUUUGGGUUGUAAAUUUGUAGGUAUUUUGCCCAUUUGGUUUGUCAUUUAGAGUAUUGUAUUUAUUGUUCUGCAUAUAUUUAUUAUUUUAGAUUGGUUUUCAA